rnacentral:rRNA from 1 species
UACAGAGGUCUCAAGCGUUGUUCGGAUUCAUUGGGCGUAAAGGGUGUGUAGGUGGCGCGCUAAGUCGGGGUGUGAAAUUUCGGAGCUUAACUCCGAAACUGCAUUCGAUACUGGCGUGCUUGGGGACUGGAGAGGAGACUGGAAUUCAUGGUGUAGCAGUGAAAUGCGUAGAGAUCAUGAGGAAGACCAGUGGCGAAGGCGGGUCUCUGGACAGUUCCUGACACUGAGACACGAAGGCCAGGGGAGCAAACGGG